rnacentral:lncRNA from 1 species
GCCUUUUGGCCGCCUCGGGCGUUCAGACGGUCUUCUACGGCUCCUUUCGCCGGCUGCGGGUGAACCUUGCAAGGAGAAAAGCCUGCUUCCUCUUCCUCCUUGGCAUGCAAAGGCUUUUUCGUGGGAAUCAGAUCUGAAGGGCUCAGUAUCUAUCUAUCUAUCUAUCUAUCUAUCUAUCUAUCUAUCUAUCUAUCUAUCUAUCUAUCUAUCUAUCUAUCUAUCUAUCUAUCUAUCUAUCUAUCUAUCUAUCUAUCAUCUCUGUUGGAUUUAAAUGAUCCUAAAUAAAUAGUGUAACCGAUGAGGACUUGGCACUGCUCCACGUGAAUGCUGGGGAAGGUGGAGGAAGGCAGCAGGAAAAGAGGAAGAACAGACACAGGUGGAGUGACCCUCUAAACAAGGAAGCCACCAGCUUGAGUCUGCAAGAGCUGAGCAGGGCUGUUGAAGAGGGGACAUUUUGGAGAUUGCUCGUUCGUAGGGUGGCCAUGAGUUGAGAGGUGACUUGGUGGCCCGUAACAACAGACCGUGAUGAGAUCGCGUUUGCAAGCUGUCGCGGGUCCUGGAAGUAAUCAUCAGUGCACUGAACUCUGCUUGAAAUGGCGUCCUUGGAGCGGUGGAACUGCUGCAUUCUGCACUAGAUGCAGGAUCCGUAUCACCUUCCAAGGACUCCUCCUGCGCCUCUAAAAAAGUGAGGUGAGGAAAAGAUGCCGAACAAGCGAAGCUUUCCAUCUCCGUGUUAAGGAUCCAUGAACAACUGGCUGCCACACAGCUGUUAAAAGUACUGUACGGCAGGCCUGACCGUGUUCACUGCCUUGAUUCCCUAUGAAGCCCAUGCGGUUGCCAUAUAGACUGAAAUCCCAAUGAAUUAAACUCGGCGUGGCGUCUUUCAGCAAUCCUAUGGCGUAGUGAUUACAGCCUGGACAAGGAUUGGUGCAAAAAGCUCUGGCAGCCGUAAAGCUUCUUGGAUGACCAUGGGCCAAUCAGACUCAUUCGCCCUUCGUGCGUCCUGACCUACCUCACAGGGUCUGUUGUGGUUAUAAAAGAGGAGGAAGAGUCAUA